CUUGCGCGCUAACACGCAGGCCAAAAAAAAAUUCUCACCGGAGAAAGUAACCCUAGAAAUCUAAACCCAACCACAGUCACAGGUAAAAGAGGUUUAGGCGGGAAAAGGACAACCCCCAAAACUGUUACUCCGUAUAUCGACCCUUUCAGUUCCUCUUCGCCAUCUCUCUCUAUCUCUCUCUCUCUCCAUUCGCCGAUUCUUCUCCCUCAAACUCCCUAAAUCAAUGACCCAAAACAGCCGGCGGCCGACGGUGGCCGUCGGAGGACGACACGGCGCAACGGAGUCGGAGGCUUCGCCACCAGACUCGGAGCUUGCGCUGCAAGGGCUUCGACGGUGUUGGGAGCUAGCUUCUGUUCUUAAUUUCUUGCAUGUGUUUGAGCCUGUUAUUGAGAGUAAUAUGAAGGUAUCAGCUGAAGAGAUCGAGGCAGCUCUUAUAACACCGAACAGUUUGCUCGAGAAGCUUCACAUUACGCUUUUGAAGGGAAUACCACCUGUAAGUAAAACAUUGAAUGGUCGUGAUGCUUGGGUGACAGUGCUCUGCAAGAAACUUGCUAUGUGGUGGCCAUGGGUUGCUGAUGGGGAUAUUCCACUGACCGUGGCUAAGGGAGAGGAAAUAUCCAGAUACAAGGAACUUGAUCCAACCAACCGUCUACUACUUUUAAAAGCACUCUGUGAAAUUCGAGCCGAUCAAGAUGAUGCAGUGUCUUACAUUAAUAAUACGCUAAAAGACGGAAAUUCUAUUUCGUCUUUCCGGAAAGAUAAGAUUGGGGAAGAUGGAAGUGGAACGACAUACUGGUGUGAUGGAAAUGCAGUUAUUGGUCAUAGGCUAUACAAGGAAGUAAGUAAGUUUGAGUCCAAGCCAGAAGUUAAGGGCAAAGAAAAUACACCCACUAUCAUUACUGAGUGGGAAACACUUGCAACUAACCUUGAGGAAUUCCGCAAAGUUGUGGAUGAUUUUUCGACAAGUGAAGCUAAACUGGAAGUAGCUGUUGUUAAAGUCAUUCAAACUGAUGCCAUUCCUGUUCUUGAGAAACUUCAUAAGAAGAAAGAAAGGGCACUGAAGCAGCAACAAAGGCAAGAGAUGCUUAUGGAUGGCUUUCGCAAUUCUGGGAUUACUCGCUCCUGCCGCAACCGCAGGCCUGUCUGUUAUACAUUUGAGGAUUUCGAUAAGGCCAUUAAGGAGGCUACUCAACCGACAAAGAAAAGGAAGACUACUGAAGAGCGAACACAUGAAGAAAAGCAUAGUGACCACAGUAAAAGUAACAAAAAUACUUCCAAUGAACGCUCAGACUCGGAAACCGACCAGAGAAACGGUUCCUUUCAUGCAGAGGACUAUGCAAUAGUAAGUGACACUGAAAGUGAGGACGUUAAUGGAGGUAAUGAUAGUAACUACUCUGACAGCGAAAAGGAAAACGGUGAUAAUGACAACAAGAAUGACAAAACACUAUCUCAGAAGCAGAAUGGUAGUUUUGCACACAAGCGUUUUGGUUUUCGCUGGAGUGAGAGAUUAGCUGGGACUGGCAACGUUCCUGCUUCAGAAAACAAAAAUUUGGGUGCAAAGAAUAGGUCGAGGCAGAGGCCUACUCGCAAUUCUGCACUUGAAGCUGAUGUCGUUCCUGAUUCAGAAGAUGGGCAGUCAUCUGAUGAAACGCCAGACAUUAAGAAAUCUCGGUCUGUUGAGCUUGAUGAUGACAGUGACAGGUAGAAUGCUUCCAAACAGGGCCAAUUUUUUGCAUUACGACAAGGAAAUCUUGAGCACACUUGAUCUUUUGUUGUGUUCUACAAUUUUGUUUCUCUUAACCAGAAGCCCUAUGCAAUUAUGCAUGUGUAUUUUGGAAAGUGGUGUCUGAGAAUUAUGUUUCUUGCUUUAUUGGAAUGUAAAGAUGUCAGUUUCGUCAAACUCGAGAGUUUGUUUCAUCAGGCUGAUCGAAUUGAUUUAACAAGGCGGUGCGUUUCUUACCCGUUGCUAACUCUGUUUAGCUCCAUCUGGGUGUCAAUUGUUAUGUAAUUUUCAAAAUGCUAGUACUUGGGUUUG